rnacentral:tRNA from 1 species
GAGGGUAUGGCUCAGUGGUAGCGUGAGUGCCCAGCAUGCAUGAGGCCUGAGGUUCAAUCCCCAGUACCUCCA